CCUACGGGAGGCAGCAGUGAGGAAUCUUUGUCACUGGGCGCGAGCCUGAACCAGCCAAGUCGCGUGAGGGAAGACGGUCCUAUGGAUUGUAAACCUCUUUUGUCGGGGAGCAAAAGACGCCACGCGUGGCGUUCCGAGAGUACCCGACGAACAAGCAUCGGCUAACUCCGUGCCAGCAGCCGCGGUAAUACGGAGGAUGCGAGCGUUAUCCGGAUUUAUUGGGUUUAAAGGGUGCGCAGGCGGAAGAUCAAGUCAGCGGUAAAAUUGAGAGGCUCAACCUCUUCGAGCCGUUGAAACUGGUGUUCUUGAGUGAGCGAGAAGUAGGCGGAAGGCGUGGUGUAGCGGUGAAAUGCAUAGAUAUCACGCAGAACUCCGAUUGCGAAGGCAGCAUACCGGCGCUCAACUGACGCUCAUGCACGAAAGUGUGGGUAUCGAACAGGAUUAGAUACCCCAGUAGUC
rnacentral:rRNA from 1 species